ACCAAAAUGGCGCCAGAGCCAGUGGCGGGUUGAGCCUGCUGGCCCUAUCCGGAGAAAGUGUACGGUCCCGGGCCUCUAGUCCCUUUCUGGACAUGGAGGAUGUGGAGGUGCACUUCGCUCACCUCUUGCAGCCCAUCCGGGAUCUCACUAAGAACUGGGAGGUGGACGUAGCGGCACAGCUGACUGGACCAGAUCUGCAUUUCUUUUGAUGAAGGCAAAACCACUAUGAACUGCAUUGAGGCAGCACUAUUGAUCCAGGGCUCAGCUUGUGUCUACAGUAAAAAGGUGGAGUACCUCUACUCGCUGGUCUACCAGGCUCUUGAUUUUGUUUCUGGCAAGAGGCGAGCCAAGCAGCUCUCUUUAGUACAGGAAGAUGGGAGCAACAGAGCCGUCAACUCAGGAGUUCCUAUGAAACAGAGGAUGAGCUCCUGUCCCUGGAUGACUUCCCUGACGCCCGGGCCAAUGUGGAUCUGAAAAAUGACCAGGCAUCCAGUGAGCUGCUUAUUAUACCCCUUCUGCCCAUGGCCCCUGAUGAAGUGGAAAAGAACAACAGCCCCUUGUAUAGCUGUCAGGGUGAGGUCUUGGCCAGCCAGAAGGAUUUCAGGAUGAACACAUGUACCCCCUGCCCCAGAGGUUCCUUUAUGUUGGAUCCAGUGGGAAUGUGUCCUGUGGAGCCUCCAGAUGUGUGCCCCAUGCCAAGGAGCCGGAAAGAUGCUGAGGAUGUUGAGGAGCAGCCAAUGGAAGUCUCUAGGAAUGGGAGUCCUGUUCCUGUACUCUGCGUCUCCCAAGAGCCAGAUGGCCCUAUGCUCAGUGGUGGAGAUGAGGAUGCAGAGGAUGUAGCAGGACUCCCAGAGGUUGCUCCAGAGCCUACAGAGCCCAGGACCUCACAGCAAAGUGCCACCUUGCCAAGGAGAUACAUGCUACGGGAGCCACGAGGGGCCCAGGAGCCUGUCUCCCGGCUACAGGACACUCCCGACCCCUGGCAGAGCCUGGACCCUUUUGAUUCCUUGGACUCCAAGCUCUUCCAGAAAGGUAAGCCCUAUUCUGUACUCCCCUGUGUGGAAGAGGUUCCAGGACAGAAGCGCAAGAGGAAGUGUGCUACCAAGCUGCAGGACUUCCACUAGUGGUACCUGGCUGCCUAUGCCGACCAUGCUGACAGCAGGAAGCCUCGGCGAAAGGGCCCAACCUUUGCAGACAUGGAAGUGUCUGUACUGGAAACAUGUAAAAGAACAGCUCGAGACCCUUCAGGAGCAGCAGAGACGUAAGGUGACUGAGAGAUGGCUGCCCAGUGCCAAAGAGGAUCUGUGGCCUAUAGAGGAGGAAUGCUUGGAAGAUUCCCUAGAAGACCUAGGGGUAGCAGAUGACUUUCUAGAACCUGAAGAGUAUGCAGAGCCUGAAGGGGUGAUGCCUGGUGAAGCUGCUGACCUAGAUGGAGACACUAUGCUAGAGUCCCUGAGAUAUGAGGAGCUGGUCCAAAGAAAUGUGGAACUCUUCAUUGCAACCUCCCAGAAGUUUGUCCAGGAGACAGAGCUGAGCCAGCACAUCAGGGACUGGGAAGAUACUAUCCAGCCCCUGCUCCAGGAGCAGGAGCAGCAUGUGCCCUUUGUUAUCCACACCUAUGGGGACCAGUUGGUCUCACGGUUUCCCCCAGCUCAAUGAGUGGUGUCCCUUUGCAGAGCUUGUAGCUGGGCAGCCUGCUUUUGAGGUGGGCCGCUCCAUGCUGGCCUCCUUGCAACUGGCUAAUGACUAUACAGUGGAGAUCACCCAGCAGCCAGGACUGGAGGCAGCUGUGGACACCAUGUCUCUGAGACUGCUCACACACCAACGAGCCCAUACCCACUUCCAGACCUAUGCUGCCCCCUCCAUGGCCCAGUCUUGAAAGGAAAGAGUGU